UACGGGGGGAGCAAGCGUUGUUCGGAUUUACUGGGCGUAAAGGGCGCGUAGGCGGCCACCGCAAGUCGACUGUGAAAUCUCCGGGCUUAACCCCGGAAAGGUCAGCCGAUACUGCGGGGCUAGAGUGCAGAAGGGGCAACUGGAAUUCUCGGUGUAGCGGUGAAAUGCGUAGAUAUCGAGAGGAACACCUGCGGCGAAGGCGGGUUGCUGGGCUGACACUGACGCUGAUGUGCGAAAGCUAGGGGAGCGAACGGG
rnacentral:rRNA from 1 species